CCUACGGGCGGCAGCAGUGGGGAAUAUUGCACAAUGGGGGAAACCCUGAUGCAGCGACGCCGCGUGAGUGAAGAAGUAUUUCGGUAUGUAAAGCUCUAUCAGCAGGGAAGAAAAUGACGGUACCUGACUAAGAAGCCCCGGCUAACUACGUGCCAGCAGCCGCGGUAAUACGUAGGGGGCAAGCGUUAUCCGGAUUUACUGGGUGUAAAGGGAGCGUAGACGGGCUGACAAGUCAGAAGUGAAAGCCUAGGGCUCAACCCUGGGACUGCAUUUGAAACUGCCAGGCUGGAGUGUGGGAGAGGUAAGCGGAAUUCCUAGUGUAGCGGUGAAAUGCGUAGAUAUUAGGAGGAACACUGGUUGCGAAGGCGGCUUACUGGACUGUAACUGACGUUGAGGCUCGAAAGCGUGGGGAGCAAACAGGAUUAGAUACCCGAGUAGUC
rnacentral:rRNA from 1 species